rnacentral:rRNA from 1 species
AAAACAUGUCCUUUAGAAUUUAAUUUAAGGUCUGACCUGCCCACUGAAUUAAAUGGCCGCAGUAUUUUAACUGUGCAAAGGUAGCAUAAUCAUUAGUCUUUUAAUUGAAGGCUUGUAUGAAUGGUUGGACGAAAUAUUAACUGUUUCAUAAAAAUUUAUUUAGAAUUUUAUUUUUUAGUCAAAAAGCUAAAAUUUUUUUAAAAGACGAGAAGACCCUAUAGAUCUUUAUAAUUUAUUGGUUAUAGUUAUAUAGAUUAUUUAAAUUAUAAUUAUAUAAAUUAUUUUGUUGGGGUGACAUUAAAAUUUAAUUAACUUUUAAUAAAUUUUUACAUUAAUUUAUGAGUAAUUGAUCCACUAGUAGUGAUUAUAAAAUUAAGUUACCUUAGGGAUAACAGCGUAAUUUUUUUGAAGAGUUCAUAUCGAUAAAAAAGAUUGCGACCUCGAUGUUGGAUUAAGAUAUAAUUUUGGGUGCAGCAAUUCAAAUAUUAAGUCUGUUCGACUUUUAAUUUCUUACAUGA